AGGUGAAAAGCAGAGACAUGGCUAGGAUGAGCCAAGCGCCAGCGCCAGUGCCCGUGCUAGUGCUUAGGGUUUAAGCACAGAUGCCGUGGCGUGUGGGGGGGGUGCUUUUGAUGACGAAGGCCGUGACGUGCGGCAUGCUGCCGAUGCUGCUGAUGCUGGCCUGCUACCCGCUGGCGCUGCUACGGGGCCGACCCGUGGGUCAUCACAGCGACCCAUCUUUCGCCAGCCCUGCACCGCCGCCGCCGCUGCCGCCGCGUCACCUUUAGAGCUGGCGCAUGCGUUAGACGGCGCCGUCAUGGGCGCCGUCAUGAGUCCCCUCGCGGCGGCGUGGAUGCUGGCACUGUACGACGGCAUUAACGAGAUGGUGAUAUGAUGACGAUGGUGGCGAUGACGGCCAGCUGCAUCAGGCCAACAGCAGCACAGCCAUCAGCUGCCGAUGAUGAUUAUGAUGAUGAUGCUGACGAUUGCAAUUGGUACAUAGAGAUUGGAAGGGGUUUGUGGAGUUAAAUUUUUGUUGUUGUGGGGUUUGUGAAAGGUUUUUUUUUCCGUUGUUGAGGUCUGUUGGGUGUAUUAUAUUUUACUACGACACGGAGAGGAAGGGUGGAUAUUAUUAUACGAGGUUUUUGAGGCGUUUUGUGUUUUCGGGGUACUUANNNNNNNNNNNNNNNNNNNNNNNNNNNNNNNNNNNNNNNNNNNNNNNNNNCAGACACCCACCAAAACCCCCACCUCACCCCCAUGCAUGCGUGCGUGCGUGUGUGUGCGCGCACGCACGCGCACAUAUCCCGCACGCGCACAUAUCCCGCACACGCACAUAUCCCGCACAGUUGGCACAGCUAUUGUGUAUCAGCAGCAGCAGCAGAAGCAGCAGCAGCACGAAUGUGUAGUCCUGUUCAGCUCCCUAGCACACAUAGCAAUGAUUGAUAGUAAUGAACCCUGAAUGAAGCUAUAAACAUCCCUCCAUGAUGCUAUAUAAUACAUAUGGCGGCCGCAGCAGAGUAACUUUAAAAUAUAUAAUUAUUAUUGCCAGCCACCCAAGCAAAUGAAUCCAGAUAGUAGUGGUAGUAGUAGUAGUACCUAUACCUCUGUUUUGUCAUCUUCACAGAGCAGGGUAUGUAUGCAUUUUGUAUGUAUGUAUGAACUAGGUGAUGAUAACAACAACCUCAUCUAUUAUCAAGCGGAGACCAUGCACAGGAUGCUGCUCGGAGAUGUGCACACGUACAUAUGUGGUAUAUGUGGUGCAGACACGUAUGCUGUACCUUAUAUACGUUGAUGACGGCACACGUGCACACUCUGUCGUACAAGGAUAUUAUAUACCUAGAGAACAUACAUAUGUGGAGGGAGGGACAGGCACAGGGAGACGAUGGCGAUGGGGACAGCAGAUACAGAUACAGACGGCGAGACUGAGCGGAUGACUGUCGAGGGAGACUGUGGGAGAGUUUUUAUUAAAUUCUUAGACUGUGGGUGGGUGGGUGUAUGUAUGUAUGUAUGUAUGUAUGUAUGUAUAUCCGCGCACUGCACUUGCGAUGUAUGUUGUUGGUCUGUCUGUUGGGUUGUUGUUGUACAUGUCGUACUGUACGUGAUACUACUUUAUAAUUAGUAGUAGUACACAUACGCAGCAGCAUAUGAUGGCUCCGCGGGUAUGUGGAUAUUAUGGGACACGCGCAUGCACGACGGUGUGGCGAUGAUGCACCCACGUAGUAGUUGUACAUAUUGUUGUUGUUGUUGUUGUUGUUGUUGUUGUUGUUGUUGUGUAUGCUCUUUUUUCCCUUCUCGUCGGACACACGAUCUCUCUCUAUAUGCAUAUCUACACCAACACAAUCAAACAAUGCUGCUGUAUCUACUUGGCACGAUUUGGCACAUAUGUAAAGUAUAANNNNNNNNNNNNNNNNNNNNNNNNNNNNNNNNNNNNNNNNNNNNNNNNNNCAUACGAUAGAAACUUUUAUAAAAAAUGUGCCGUCGCCCUAAUUGUUUUUAAUUUUCCUCCCCUCCCCCCCCCCAGCCAGCAGGUGAAAAGCAGAGACAUGGCUAGGAUGAGCCAAGCGCCAGCGCCAGUGCCCGUGCUAGUGCUUAGGGUUUAAGCACAGAUGCCGUGGCGUGUGGGGGGGGUGCUUUUGAUGACGAAGGCCGUGACGUGCGGCAUGCUGCCGAUGCUGCCGAUGCUGGCCUGCUACCCGCUGGCGCUGCUACGGGGCCGACCCGUGGGUCAUCACAGCGACCCAUCUUUUGCCAGCCCUGCACUGCCGCCGCGUCACCUUUAGAGCUGGCGCAUGCGUUAGACGGCGCCGUCAUGAGUCCCCUCGCGGCGGCGUGGAUGCUGGGACUGUACGACGGCAUUGACGAGAUGGCGAUAUGAUGACGAUGGUGGCGAUGACGGCCAGCUGCAUCAGGCCAACAGCAGCACAGCCAUCAGCUGCCGAUGAUGAUUAUAAUGAUGAUGCUGGCGAUUGCAAUUGGUACAUAGAGAUUGGAAGGGGUUUGUGGAGUAUUUUUGUUGUUGUGGGGUUUGUGAAAGGUUUUUUUUUCCAUUGUUGAGGUCUGUUGGGUGUAUUAUAUUUUACUACGACACGGAGAGGAAGGGUGGAUAUUAUUAUACGAGGUUUUUGAGGCGUUUUGUGUUUUCGGGGUACUUUAUUACUCUAGAUAUAUACGAGGUUUUCUUUUGGGUCUGGGAUAAUAUAUUAUAUUAUAUGAGGAGGUACAAAGUACGAGGUGAUUGGGUUUUGGGGUAGUAGAGCAGGGACAAGGGACAACGUAAUUUUAAAAUUGUGUGGUUGAGGUUCGGGGGGUUUUUGGGAGGUGUGUUUGGUUGGGUACGAG
rnacentral:lncRNA from 1 species